rnacentral:misc_RNA from 1 species
GAUGAAGAACGUAGCGAAAUGCGAUAAGUAAUGUGAAUUGCAGAAUUCAGUGAAUCAUCGAAUCUUUGAACGCACAUUGCGCCCCUUGGUAUCCCGAGGGGCAUGCCUGUUCGAGCGUCAUUAUAACCCUCAAGCUCAGCUUGGUGUUGGGGCCUGCUGCACUGGCAGCCCUUAAAAUCAGUGGCGGCGCCAUCUGGCUCUAAGCGUAGUAAUUCUUCUCGCUAUGGAGUCCUGGUGGAUGCUUGCCAUCAACCCCCAAUUUUUCUAUGGUUGACCUCGGAUCAGGUAGGGAUACCCGCUGAACUUAAGCAUAUCAAUAAGCGGAGGA